UACGUAGGGUGCGAGCGUUAAUCGGAAUUACUGGGCGUAAAGCGUGCGUAGUCGGUUAUCUAAGUCGGAUGUGAAAUCCCCGGGCUCAACCUGGGAAUUGCAUUCGAUACUGGAUAGCUAGAGUUCGGCAGAGGGAAGUGGAAUUUCGGGUGUAGCGGUGAAAUGCGUAGAUAUCCGAAGGAACAUCAGUGGCGAAAGCGACUUCCUGGACCAGAACUGACGAUCAGGCACGAAAGCGUGGGGAGCAAACAGG
rnacentral:rRNA from 1 species